UACAGAGGUGGCAAGCGUUGUUCGGAAUUACUGGGCGUAAAGGGCGCGUAGGCGGCCAUCUAAGUCAGACGUGAAAUCCCCCGGCUUAACCUGGGAACUGCGUCUGAUACUGGAAGGCUUGAGUAUGGGAGAGGGAUGUAGAAUUCCAGGUGUAGCGGUGAAAUGCGUAGAUAUCUGGAGGAACACCGGUGGCGAAGGCGGCAUCCUGGACCAAUAUUGACGCUGAGGAGCGAAAGCCAGGGGAGCAAACGGG
rnacentral:rRNA from 1 species